AACGAACGCUGGCGGCGUGGAUUAGGCAUGCAAGUCGAACGAUAUCCAGGGGUAUAGCAAUAUAAUCCUGGUGACAGUGGCGAAAGGGUGAGUAACGCGCGGGUAAUCUGCCCUUAAGUUGGGGAUAACAUUCCGAAAGGAGUGCUAAUACCGAAUGUGGUCGUCCUUCGCAUGAAGGAUUAUCCAAAGACGGGGAUCCGUAAGUACCUGUCGCUUGAGGAUGAGCCCACGGACUAUCAGCUUGUUGGCGAGGUGACGGCUCACCAAGGCUAUGACGGUUAGCUGGUCUGAGAGGAUGGUCAGCCACACUGGGACUGAGACACUGCCCAGACUCCUACGGGAGGCUG
rnacentral:rRNA from 1 species